UAUUGUAGCCUACUCAGUCAGUGCAAAACAGAAAAAAAAGUCAUUUCUCAUCACAUCGUGCAUUAUAGUUUGCAUUGAGAAGUUUGGUGUUAUAGAUAUAUCCACACCCUACCUACCUUGUCCAGCGCUGGAUGGUCUAUAACUUCUUAAACACAUAGGAUUACUUAAUGUACACACCGGUCUUCUUGUGUGUCUGCAAAUCAUUUGUAAACAGCAGAACCAGUCCUUCCAGACAGUCUACUUUUCAAGGAACUGGAAGAUUUUUUGAUUCAAUGACAACGAAGCAAAACCAGAGGCAAAACUUUGACAUAUCCCUUGUCUGACCGAGAAGGACCGAUCCUGUCCUGUGUUUGAUGUUGACUCUCCAUAGGGCCUUAACAGCUCACGGACUGCAUUCUAGAUGUUUCCAAUUUCCAGGCCAUUCCGCAAUUUUCAACUCCAAUGAGAGACAACACAUGCUGAAAUGGCUGUUUAGGUAAAGUAAGGAAUUGGUAAGUGAUGAUUUUAAAUGCUGUCUCAGAUAAAAUGGACGAUUUGUGGUAGAUAAGGAUUUGCCUUUGUAAAAAGCAGGAAGCUUGUGUGGCUCAUUUAAUCUGUUUUGAUGUCGCUUAAAUGUAUGUUGUAUCUUACUCUGGAAACUCUGAUCGCCACUCACAGUAAUACCUCUUUAAUAAACGUUAUGAAGAGGAAUAUGAUGCAAAGCUAUCUAAUGUAAUUCUGAAACUGGCUUAAAAUAUAUUAUUUAGUAUACUGAAAACAAAUGAAGUUAUACUGUGUUGUAUAUAGAUUUUUUUUUACUGUGUUGUAUAUUGAUUUUAAAGUAUUUUGUUUGGUUUUAGAUGAUGAAAUAACAUUAUGCUGAUGUUAGGCAUGCUGUCUGAAUGUCACUACAAACGCUCAUUUACUAUGUACAACACUAUAGAUUUUAUCUCGUUAUUUAUUACAGUACACAUGUACCAUAAUAUAAUGUAAAUAACAGCACAAUAGCAAUAAGAAUGCUCUAACCCUAUCAUCAUUUAACUUCUGUAUUAAUUCAGAGUUAAUGUUUACAUCUGAACUCUUCACUAAUUUGUUUAUUAGUAUGUUCAUUCAUUUUUUUAUAUUUUUUUUUACACAAAGUCAAUAUUGAAUUAUUUUGUGAAUUAACAAUGUCUCAUUUUGUAUUACCCUGUCAGUCAAUUAAUGCUUUUUUGACUUGCCCAAAUAGUUUUCUAAAAUCUAAAAUAAAAGUGAUUUUUGCAAACUUUUUAUACUUAUUAUCACUCAUUUGGUGUAUGUCUUGGAUGUCAUUACCAUAACUGAGAGUUGAUAAUAAAAACUAUUCCGUGCAGACUGACCAUAGCUCUUUGUGUGU